CAACAGGGAUUGCCCCAGUAACGGCGAGUGAAGCGGCAACAGCUCAAAUUUGAAAUCUGGCCUCGGCCCGAGUUGUAAUUUGCAGAGGAUGUUUCUGGCGCGGUGCCUUCUGAGUUCCCUGGAACGGGACGCCAUAGAGGGUGAGAGCCCCGUACGGUUGGACGCCUAGCCUGUGUGAAACUCCUUCGACGAGUCGAGUAGUUUGGGAAUGCUGCUCAAAAUGGGAGGUAUAUCUCUUCUAAAGCUAAAUACCGGCCAGAGACCGAUAGCGCACAAGUAGAGUGAUCGAAAGAUGAAAAGCACCUUGAAAAGGGGGUUAAACAGCACGUGAAAUUGUUGAAAGGGAAGCGCCCAUGACCAGACUUGUGCCCGGCGGAUCACCCAGCGUUCUCGCUGGGGCACUCCGCCGGGUCCAGGCCAGCAUCGGUUUUCGCCGGGGGAUAAAGGCUCUGGGAACGUAGCUCCUCCGGGAGUGUUAUAGCCCUCUGCGUAAUACCCUGGCGGGGACCGAGGUACGCGCUCCGCAAGGAUGCUGGCGUAAUGGUCAUCAGCGACCCGUCUUGAAACACGGAUCAAGGAGUCGUCCAUUAGAGCGAGCGUUUGGGUGUCAAACCCGCACGCGUAAUGAAAGUGAACGUAGGUGAGAGCUUCGGCGCAUCAUCGACCGAUCCUGAUGUCCUCGGAUGGAUUUGAGUAUGAGUUUUACUGGACGGACCCGAAAGAUGGUGAACUAUGCCUGUAUAGGGUGAAGCCAGAGGAAACUCUGGUGGAGGCUCGCAGCGGUUCUGACGUGCAAAUCGAUCGUCAAAUAUGGGCAUGGGGGCGAAAGACUAAUCGAACCAUC
rnacentral:rRNA from 1 species